CGGUUGAUCCUGCCGGAGGCUACUGCCAUCAGAGUUCGAUUAAGCCAUGUUAGUCGAGGGUGCUUCUUCUUCGGAAGAAGUAACCCGGCGGACGGCUCAGUAACACGUGGAUAACUUGCCCUUGGUCCGGGAUAACCCCUGAGAAAUUGGGGACAAUACCGGAUAGGGCAUCGAUUGCUGGAAUGCGCGAUGUCCAAAAGCUGAGGCGCCCAAGGAUAGGUCUGCGGCCGAUUAGGUUGUUGUUGAUGUAAUGGAUCAACAAGCCUGCAAUCGGUACGGGUUGUGAGAGCAAGAGCCCGGAGAUGGGUUCUGAGAAAAGAACCCAGGUCCUACGGGACGCAUCAGGCGCGAAAACUUUACAAUGUGCGAAAGCACGAUAAGGGAACUCUGAGUGCCUCCUAUGGAGGCUGUUCAGGUGUCUAAAAAGCACUUGAAGUAAGGGCUGGGUAAGACCGGUGCCAGCCGCCGCGGUAACACCGGCAGCCCAAGUGGUAGCCACGAUUAUUGGGUCUAAAGCGUCCGUAGCCGGCCAGGUAAGUUCUUUGGGAAAUUUAACCGCUCAACGGUUAAGCUUUCAGGGAAUACUGCUUGGCUUGGGACCGGGAGAGGUCAGAGGUACUUCAAGGGUAGGGGUGAAAUCCGUUAAUCCUUGAGGGACCACCAGUAGCGAAGGCGUCUGACCAGACCGGGUCCGACGGUGAGGGACAAAGGCUAGGGUCGCGAACCGGAUUAGAUACCCGGGUAGUCCUAGCUGUAAACGAUGCGGGCCAGGUGUU
rnacentral:rRNA from 1 species